AGCUAAAUUUAUACAUGCAAGUAUCCGCACCCCUGUGAGAAUGCCCCACAGUUCCCCGCCCGGGAACAAGGAGCCGGUAUCAGGCACGACCCCCCCCCCCCCAGCCCAUGACACCUUGCUAAGCCACACCCCCAAGGGAAUUCAGCAGUGAUAAACAUUAAGCCAUGAGUGAAAACUUGACUUAGUUAAAGCUUAGAGAGCCGGUAAAACUCGUGCCAGCCACCGCGGUUAUACGAGAGGCUCAAGUUAACAGACAACGGCGUAAAGAGUGGUUAGGGAAAUAUUUAAACUAAAGCCGAACGACCUCAGAGCUGUCGAACGCUUACGAGCCAAGAAGCCCCAUUACGAAAGUAGCUUUAUUUUACCUGACCCCACGAAAGCUGAGAAACAAACUGGGAUUAGAUACCCCACUAUGCUCAGCCCUAAACUUUGAUAGGCCCCUACGCCCCCCUAUCCGCCCGGGUACUACGAGCACGAGCUUGAAACCCAAAGGACUUGGCGGUGCUUCACAUCCGUCUAGAGGAGCCUGUUCUAGAACCGAUAACCCCCGUUAAACCUCACCCUCCCUUGUUAGCCCCGCCUAUAUACCGCCGUCGUCAGCCUACCCUGUGAAGGCCCAGAAGUGAGCAAGAUUGGUAAAGCCCAAAACGUCAGGUCGAGGUGUAGUGUAUGAGAGGGGAAGAAAUGGGCUACAUUUCCUAAUUCAGGAAAUACGAACAAUGAACUGAAAUAAGCAUUAGAAGGUGGAUUUAGCAGUAAGCAGGAAAACAGAGUGUUCCGCUGAAAAAUGGCCAUAAAGCACGCACACACCGCCCGUCACUCUCCCCAAGUCAACCUUACAAUAAUUUAGUACCUAAAAAAUUGCACCUGCAAAGGGGAGGCAAGUCGUAACAUGGUAAGUGUAC
rnacentral:ncRNA from 1 species